rfam:Schistosoma curassoni strain Dakar, Senegal genome assembly, scaffold: SCTD_scaffold0010510
ACACUGCUGAGGAGUCCAAUAUUAGGACGAAAUGGCCGUCCAGUGC